UACGGAGGGAGCUAGCGUUGUUCGGAAUUACUGGGCGUAAAGCGCGCGUAGGCGGCUUUGUAAGUUAGAGGUGAAAGCCCGGGGCUCAACCCCGGAAUUGCCUUUAAGACUGCAUCGCUUGAAUCCGGGAGAGGUGAGUGGAAUUCCGAGUGUAGAGGUGAAAUUCGUAGAUAUUCGGAAGGAACACCUGUGGCGAAAGCGGCUCACUGGACCAUUACUGACGCUGAUGCACGAAAGCUAGGGGAGCAAACAGG
rnacentral:rRNA from 1 species